rnacentral:rRNA from 1 species
UGGAAACGGUAGCUAAUACCGCAUAACGUCGCAAGACCAAAGAGGGGGACCUUCGGGCCUCUUGCCAUCGGAUGUGCCCAGAUGGGAUUAGCUAGUAGGUGGGGGUAACGGCUCACCUAGGCGACGAUCCCUAGCUGGUCUGAGAGGAUGACCAGCCACACUGGAACUGAGACACGGUCCAGACUCCUACGGGAGGCAGCAUG